rnacentral:rRNA from 1 species
AUGAACGCUGGCGGCGUGCCUAAUACAUGCCAGUCGAGCGAACAGAUGAGGAGCUUGCUCCUCUGACGUUAGCGGCGGACGGGUGAGUAACACGUGGAUAACCUACCUAUAAGACUGGGAUAACUUCGGGAAACCGGAGCUAAUCCCGGAUAAUAUAUUGAACCGCAUGGUUCAAUAGUGAAAGACGGUUUUGCUGUCACUUAUAGAUGGAUCCGCGCCGCAUUAGCUAGUUGGUAAGGUAACGGCUUAGCAAGGCAACGAUGCGUAGCCGACCUGAGAGGGGGAUCGGCCACACUGGAGCUGAGACACGGUCCAGACGCCUACGGGAGGCAGCAGUAGGGAAUCUUCCGCAAUGGGCGAAAGCUUGACGGAGCAACGCCGCGUGAGUGAUGAAGGUCUUGGGAUCGUAAAACUCUGUUAUUAGGGAAGAACAAAUGUGUAAGGAACUAUGCACGUCUUGACGGUACCUGAUCAGAAAGCCACGGCUAACUACGUG